UACGGAGGGAGCUAGCGUUGUUCGGAAUUACUGGGCGUAAAGCGCACGUAGGCGGCUUUCUAAGUCAGGGGUGAAAUCCUGGAGCUCAACUCCAGAACUGCCCUUGAUACUGGAGAGCUUGAGUUCGGGAGAGGUGAGUGGAACUGCGAGUGUAGAGGUGAAAUUCGUAGAUAUUCGCAAGAACACCAGUGGCGAAGGCGGCUCACUGGCCCGAUACUGACGCUGAGGUGCGAAAGCGUGGGGAGCAAACAGG
rnacentral:rRNA from 1 species